GAUGAACGCUGGCGGCGUGCCUAAUACAUGCAAGUCGAGCGGACAGACGAGGAGAGUGCUCUUCUACCGGUAGCGACGGACGGGCGGGUGACACGUAGAUCACCAUCCUCUAUUUCUGGGAUGACUACGGGAAGAAGGAGCCAAUACCAGCGCAUAUGUUGAACCGGAUGGUUCAAUAGAGAAAGACGGUUUUCCCGUUACAUAGAGACGAAGCCGCAUUAGCUAGUUGGGGGGGUAAAGGCCCACCAAGGCGACGAUACGUAGCUGGUCUGAGAGGAUGAUCAGCCACACUGGAACUGAGACACGGUCCAGACUCCUACGGGAGGCAGCAGUAGGGAAUAUUCGGCAAUGGGCGCAAGCCUGACCGAGCCAUGCCGCGUGAGUGAAGAAGGUCUUCGGAUUGUAAAGCCCUGUUAUUGGGAAAGAAAAGAAGCGUAAGAAUAUCCCGCUGUUUUGACGGUACCCAAAGAGUAAGCCACGGCUAACUACGUG
rnacentral:rRNA from 1 species